AACGAACGCUGGCGGCAUGCCUAACACAUGCGAGUCGAACGAGACCUUCGGGUCUAGGGGCGCACGAGUGCGUAACGCGUGGGAACCUGCCCUUAGGUUCGGAAUAACUCCCCGAAAGGGGUGGUAAUACCGGAUAAUGUCUUCGGACCAAAGAUUUAUCGCCUUUGGAUGGGCCCGCGUUGGAUUAGCUAGUUGGUAAGGUAAAAGCCAACCAAGGCGACGAUCCAUAGCUGGUCUGAGAGGAUGAUCAGCCACACUGGGACUGAGACCCGGCCCAGACUCCUACGGGAGGCAGCAGUGGGGAAUAUUGGACACUGGGCGAAAGCCUGAUCCAGCAAUGCCGCGUGAGUGAUGAAGGCCUUAGGGUUGUAAAGCUCUUUUACCCGGGAUGAUAAUGACAGUACCGGGAGAAUAAGCUCCGGCUAACUCCGUG
rnacentral:rRNA from 1 species